rnacentral:lncRNA from 1 species
CAAACCAUGGCCGCAAUCUCUGAUCAUGGAAGGAUUUCAGCGUUAGGGUUACCGCUUUUAGCCACAAUGGAAUCACGACCAAUGUUAUUACAUAUUUUAGUGUACCUUGAACAAUAGCUGUUAUAUUUACCACAUAACUUAUUAAUAUUGAAACAAUAGUAGAUCACCAAUUUGUUUAUCCUUUUGUGAUCAUCAUCAUCAUCAUCAUGCUGAUCAGCUUCAAUAUCUUUCACCGUUGAUUAGCUCUUCCUUCACCUUCAGCAGCAGCACUAUAGCCAUUGAGAAAUAAUGCCACAGCAAGGACAACUAGAAGAAUUGAAGUUUUUGCCAUAGUGUACAAUAUCACUCAGUAUUUUUAUUUUCUUCCUAUCGUUAUUGUUUU